CAGCAGCCGCGGUAAAACAGAGGGUGCGAGCGUUAAUCGGAUUUACUGGGCGUAAAGCGUGCGUAGGCGGCUUUUUAAGUCGGAUGUGAAAUCCCUGAGCUUAACUUAGGAAUUGCAUUCGAUACUGGGAAGCUAGAGUAUGGGAGAGGAUGGUAGAAUUCCAGGUGUAGCGGUGAAAUGCGUAGAGAUCUGGAGGAAUACCGAUGGCGAAGGCAGCCAUCUGGCCUAAUACUGACGCUGAGGUACGAAAGCAUGGGGAGCAAACAGGAUUAGAUACCCCGGUAGUCCCUGUCUCUUAUAC
rnacentral:rRNA from 1 species